UACGUAGGGGGCAAGCGUUGUCCGGAAUCAUUGGGCGUAAAGAGCGUGUAGGCGGCCCGAUAAGUCCGCUGUGAAAGUCCAGGGCUCAACCCUGGGAUGCCGGUGGAUACUGUCGGGCUCGAGUCCGGAAGAGGCGAGUGGAAUUCCUGGUGUAGCGGUGAAAUGACGCAGAUAUCAGGAGGAACACCAAUGGCGAAGGCAGCUCGCUGGGACGUGACUGACGCUGAGACGCGAAAGCGUGGGGAGCAAACAGG
rnacentral:rRNA from 1 species